AUGCAUGCGGUGAGCACAGUGCGAACUAUUCUUUCGCCUUUUACUAAAGAAUACCGCGUGUUCUUCGUCUAUAAUGGCAUACGCUUAAUUUUAGAGAAGUUUCUAUGAAAGGAACUU